UGGGGAAUAUUGGACAAUGGGGGCAACCCUGAUCCAGCAAUGCCGCGUGAGUGAUGAAGGCCUUAGGGUUGUAAAGCUCUUUCGGCGGGGACGAUGAUGACGGUACCCGCAGAAGAAGCCCCAGCUCACUUCGUGCCAUCAGCCGCGGUAAUA
rnacentral:rRNA from 1 species